rnacentral:rRNA from 1 species
AUGGAUGGUGGAAGUGGGCUGAACUUGUUGUAUGCUGACACAUUGAAAGGUAUGGGCAUUCCGAUGUCCCGACUGAGCACUAGUAACAUGAGCUUCCAUGGAGUUAUACCAGGGAAGAAGGACGAGUCACUCGGCCAGAUAGCUUUGGACGUGGUGUUUGGUGAUUCGAAGCAUUUUCACAAAGAAAAGUUGACGUUUGAGGUCGUGGAUUUUCAAAGUGCAUAUCAUGCCAUUUUGGGGAGACCAGCCUAUGCACGGUUCAUGGCUCGACCAUGUUACGUGUACCUCAAAUUGAAGAUGCCCGGUCCCAAAGGUGUGAUCACUGUCACCGGUGAUAGGAAAAAGGCAGAGGAGUGCUUUCAGAAGGGCUCCAAGAUUGCCGAUUCCCAAGUGACAGCGGUCGAGUUCGAAGAAUACAAGCAAAGCGCAGAUCCGAGUGACUUGCUGCGAUCCAAGAAGCCCGCCACAGAGUCUGCAUUCCAGUCGUCCGGUGAGACGAAGCCUGUUCACAUUCACCCGACCGACCCCGAAGCAGCUCCGACCCGCAUCUCUACAACACUCGACCCAAAAUAG